rnacentral:rRNA from 1 species
CCCUUAGAUGUUCUGGGCCGCACGCGCGCUACACUGACGAAGUCAGCGAGCAUGUCCUACGCCGACAGGUGCGGGGAAUCUUGUCAAACUUCGUCGUGAUGGGGAUUGAUUAUUGAAAUUCUUGAUCAUCAGCGAGGAAUUCCUAGUAAGCGCAAGUCAGCAGCUUGCGUUGAUUACGUCCCUGCCCUUUGUACACACCGCCCGUCGCUACUACCGAUUGAACGGUUUAGUGAGGGCCUCGGAUUGGUCUCGGCCCGCUCUUUACCGGGCGGCGCCGUUGGUCGAGAAGACGCUCGAACUUGAUCGUUUAGAGGAAGUAAAAGUCGUAACA